rnacentral:piRNA from 1 species
UUGUUGAUUUCUGAUACUUGAAUUUGGC